AUACUACUCCCUCUGUCCAUAAAUACUUGUCAUCAAAAUGAAUAAAAAGGGAUGUAUCUAGAUGUAUUUUAGUUCUAGAUACAUCCCUUUUUGUCCAUUUUGAUGACAAGUAUUUUCGGACGGAGGGAGUACCAU
rnacentral:pre_miRNA from 1 species